rnacentral:rRNA from 1 species
AUUGAACGCUGGCGGCAGGCCUAACACAUGCAAGUCGAACGAGUGGCGGACGGGUGAGUAAUGUCUGGGAAACUGCCUGAUGGCGGGGGAUCACUACUGGAAACGGUAGCUAAUACCUCAUACCAUCAGAUAUGCCCAGAGGGGAUUAGCUAGUUGGUGGGGUACCGGCUCACCAAGGCGACGCUCCCUAGCUGGUCUGAGAGGAUGACUGGCCAGAGUGGAACUGAGACACGGCCAAGACUGCGACGGGAGGCAGCAGUGGGGAAUAUUGUACAAUGGGCGCAAGCCUGAUGCAGACAUGCCGCGUGUACGAAGAGGGCCUUAGGGUUGUAAAGUACUUUCUGAGGAGAAGCGUUACCCGCAGAAGAAGCACCGGCUAAGUCCGUGCCAACCGCCGCGGUAAUAC